rnacentral:rRNA from 1 species
GGCGUUUCGCCCGAGUUGUAAUUUGGAGAAGGUGCUUCGGGCGCGGCCCCGGUCUAAGUCCCUUGGAACAGGGCGUCCCAGAGGGUGAGAAUCCCGUACGCGGCCGUCGGCCAAGCCCGUGCGAAGCCCUUUCGACGAGUCGAGUUGUUUGGGAAUGCAGCUCCAAAUGGGUGGUAAAUUUCAUCUAAAGCUAAAUAUCUGCCCGAGACCGAUAGCGAACAAGUAGAGUGAUCGAAAGAUGAAAAGAACUUUGAAAAGAGAGUUAAAAAGUACGUGAAAUUGUUAAAAGGGAAGCGCUUGCUACCAGACUCGCUCGUGGGUGCUCAGCCGUUCCUUCGGGGGCGGUGCGUUCUCCCGCGCGCGGGCCAGCAUCGGUUUGGGCGGCCGGACAAAGGCCCCGGGAACGUAGCUUUCUCCGGGGAGUGUUAAGCCCGGGGUGCAAUGCGGCCCGCCUGGACCGAGGACUGCGCAUUCGCAAGGAUGCUGGCGUAAUGGUAGCCAGCGACCCGUCUUGAAACACGGACCAGUAAGUUACACCGCGCACAAAUCGUCGAAUAAAUGCUAACCCGUGCCGUAGAGGAGUCGACCAACCGCGCGAGUGUUUGGGU